rnacentral:rRNA from 1 species
GUGCCAGCAGCUGCGGUAAUACGAAGGGGGCUAGCGUUGCUCGGAAUGACUGGGCGUAAAGGGCGUGUAGGCGGUUUGUACAGUCAGAUGUGAAAUCCCCGGGCUUAACCUGGGAGCUGCAUUUGAUACGUGCAGACUAGAGUGUGAGAGAGGGUUGUGGAAUUCCCAGUGUAGAGGUGAAAUUCGUAGAUAUUGGGAAGAACACCGGUGGCGAAGGCGGCAACCUGGCUCAUGACUGACGUUGAGGCUCGAAAGUGUGGGUAGCAAACAGGAUUAGAUACCCUGGUAGUCCACACCGUAAACGAUGAACACUAGGUGUUAGGAGUUUCCGCUCUUAGUGCCGAAGCUAACGCAUUAAGUGUUCCGCCUGGGGAGUACGACCGCAAGGUUGAAACUCAAAGGAAUUGACGGGACCCGCACAAGCGGUGGAGCAUGUGGUUUAAUUCGAAGCAACGCGAAGAACCUUACCAGGUCUUGACAUCCUUUGAAGCUUUUAGAGAUAGAAGUGUUCUACUUCGGAGAACAAAGUG